rnacentral:rRNA from 1 species
CUAGCGUUGUCCGGAAUCAUUGGGCGUAAAGCGCGUGUAGGCGGUCCGGUAAGUCCGCUGUGAAAGUCGGGGGCUCAACCCUCGAAUGCCGGUGGAUACUGUCGGGCUAGAGUACGGAAGAGGCGAGUGGAAUUCCUGGUGUAGCGGUGAAAUGCGCAGAUAUCAGGAGGAACACCAAUUGCGAAGGCAGCUCGCUGGGACGUUACUGACGCUGAGACGCGAAAGCGUGGGGAGCAAACAGG